CUGGAGGUAUCAGAAGUGCGAAUGCUGACAUAAGUAACGAUAAAGCGGGUGAAAAGCCCGCUCGCCGGAAGACCAAGGGUUCCUGUCCAACGUUAAUCGGGGCAGGGUGAGUCGACCCCUAAGGCGAGGCCGAAAGGCGUAGUCGAUGGGAAACGGGUUAAUAUUCCCGUACUUGGUGUUACUGCGAAGGGGGGACGGAGAAGGCUAUGUUGGCCGGGCGACGGUUGUCCCGGUUUAAGCGUGUAGGUGUGUGUUCCAGGUAAAUCCGGUUCACUUUAACACUGAGGCGUGAUGACGAGGCACUACGGUGCUGAAGCAACAAAUGCCCUGCUUCCAGGAAAAGCCUCUAAGCAUCAGGUAACAUCAAAUCGUACCCCAAACCGACACAGGUGGUCAGGUAGAGAAUACCAAGGCGCUUGAGAGAACUCGGGUGAAGGAACUAGGCAAAAUGGUGCCGUAACUUCGGGAGAAGGCACGCUGACACGUAGGUGAAGUGAUUUACUCAUG
rnacentral:rRNA from 1 species